AUUGAACGCUGGCGGCAGGCUUAAUACAUGCAAGUCGAGCGAGCGGCGGACGGGUGAGUAAUGUCUGGGAAACUGCCUGAUGGGGGGGGAUAACUACUGGAAACGGUACCUAAUCCCGCAUACCAUCAGAUGUGCCCAGAUGGGAUUAGCGAGUGGGUGGGGUAAUGGCUCACCGAGGCGACGAUCCCUAGCUGGUCUGAGAGGAUGAACAGCCACAAUGGAACUGAGGCACGGUCCAAACUCCUACGGGAGGCAGCAGUGGGGAAUAUUGCACAAUGGGCGCAAGCCUGAUGCAGCCACGCCGCGUGGGUGAAGAAGGCCUUCGGGUCGUAAAGCACUUUCAGCGAGGAGGCGUUACUCGCAGAGGAAGCACCGGCUAACUCCGUGCCAGCAGCCGCGGUAAUAC
rnacentral:rRNA from 1 species